CCUGUUUAAGGCAACCGAGGGACACACAAGGCAGCUUUAGGGCUGCUCCUUUUACUUCUCACCUGAUCCAUUUUUUUGGAAAUGGCUUCUUAGAAGAAGGGCAAACAUAAUAAGGCAGCUACUGUCCUUUUUAUAACUCUCAGUCAGGUCUUUGAUUUGGGCCAGCAAGGAAGCUUGUUAGAUCUGAUAAAAGCAACUAAGCAUCUCUGGAAAAUGCUAUUAAAAACAGAACAUGAAACAAAUGAAAAGCUGGGAGACUUAAUGGUAAAUACAUGGCCUGGAAGUUCAGCACAGCUACAUCCUGUUUGCCAUUAUUAUUUAAUACUGGCAUCGAUUGGUUGACAGAUAAGACAGAGCAGGCAAUUCUCCGUGGAGUUUACUUGAAUACCAUUUCACUUUGAGAUUAAAAAAAGCCCAGAUCACACUGUCUUGUUGGGAAAUGUUAAUGUAGCGGUGCUGCUGACUACUGCGGUCAAUCAGUAAAAAAGAAAAACCCUCUUUCUUUGAUCGUCUACAUGGACAAAACCCAAGUCUCUGCUAACAAUGAAACAGUGCCCGACUCCAGACUGGAACUAGUGCAGCACUACACCGCUCCUCUGAAUAAUAACCUGUAUGUUCUCCAUCCCAAAUACAGGUAAACUGUUCAUAUGGAACAGCUAUUGUCAUUGCUCAGGCUCUUUGGUGCAGCUGCGGAGAGGUCUUUAUUAAUUUUUGUGAGAGCCCCCAGAAUCACAGAACGACUUGUACCAGCUCUCCCUUUCACAAGUGACACGUUGCACACAAAGAGAAGGCUGAGGAGCAAUUACUUCCACCAUCACCACCUUGGCCGCCCUGAUUUCAUGGCAGAACAGUUAGCAACACAGACGGGGAGGCUCAACUCAGCAACUGCUUCCAUCAGGUUUGUAACAACCAAGCUAGCAAGACUCGAUGCAGGACCACGUAGACAGGGAAGGUGAUUUUUAUUUUCAAGACUUAUCUCACCCACUCGUUCUUGCACAUUCACAUACUCACUAGCAUCAAGACAUGUGUCCAAAUGGUCCGGUCAAGACUGCCUACAGUGAAACAGAAGGCAAGGAACGUUGUCUAUCAGAUCCUUCUCAUGCCUUUGUGGCUCACACUGAGCAGCAAAGACACCAGAUGACAUUUACACUCUUCAUAUUCUUUCUUAGUACAGACAGCUCUGGGCCCAAGUUGCGUCACGCUGCUGUUGCUCCGCAUCUGCACUGUGGCCUCAUCCGAGGUGACUUUCAGAACUUGGAAGCAGGAUGAUGGCAAAACAAAAACAAACAAAAAAACAGAACGACAGACGAAAUGGGAUACUUUGAGCUUCCUUCCCUGUCCUGGAGGUGUGCAGCACCUUGUGUGUGGCACACAGAAGCCAGCUCCAGCACAGCACUGAUAAAGGAGCUGCAGGAAAGUGCAGCUGAAGAGCUUGGAGCACGGCUUUUUCUCCCCAGGACUGAGCAGCUGUCCUGAAACUGGAUGUGGGGCAAAGCCACAAGGGAACAAGAGGGAAAAAAGAGAGCAGCUACUCCCCAUUUUCUAGAGGUUCUAACAAAUGUCUGUAUUUCUGUGUCUUCUACCAGCAGAUAAGAAACCCAGCCUGUCCUUAGGAGAACUUGGCUCUCCAGCAAAACAAUUUCUCAACAGCCAUUUUUAUUGCUUCUGACAAUAUACUACUGGGAGAAAGAAAGAAAUAACGUUCUGCAAUUCUUUAGUUUCUUUCUUUAUUAGAGUACGCAAAUUUCCUGGGACUAUUGAUAAAAGAAAACGUAAAUGGUCAACUUUUCAUCUCAUCUGACAAUGCAAGUGAAAAGAGUUGGAAAUUCCCCAAAGCAGGCUACUCAGGUAAGAAUAGCACAGCAGAGCUGCCCAAGUAACAACUCCACAGAUUAAUUAACAUUUGCAUGGA